GACGAACGCUGGCGGCGUGCUUAACACAUGCAAGUCGAACGGAAAGGCCCUGCUUUUGUGGGGUGCUCGAGUGGCGAACGGGUGAGUAACACGUGAGUAACCUGCCCUUGACUUUGGGAUAACUUCAGGAAACUGGGGCUAAUACCGGAUAGGAGCUCCUGCUGCAUGGUGGGGGUUGGAAAGUUUCGGCGGUUGGGGAUGGACUCGCGGCUUAUCAGCUUGUUGGUGGGGUAGUGGCUUACCAAGGCUUUGACGGGUAGCCGGCCUGAGAGGGUGACCGGCGACAUGUGGACUGCACGAGGGACUAGAGUCGGGGGGGAGGCAGGGGUUGGUAGUGGUGGGCGGUGGGGGGAAGCAUGAUGCGGCGGCGGAGUGUGGGGGGUGGCGGGCUUGGGGGUGACUUCCGCCUGCGGAUGUGAAGAGGCGUGGGUGGAGGUAGGGGGUAAAGGAGCGCCGGAGAAGCACGGACCAGCGGCCGGGGGAAUAGUCGGAGGGGCAGACGGAGGAAC
rnacentral:rRNA from 1 species